UACAGAGGUCUCAAGCGUUGUUCGGAUUCAUUGGGCGUAAAGGGUGCGUAGGUGGUGCUGCAAGUCUGGUGUGAAAUCUCGGAGCUCAACUCCGAAAUUGCACCGGAUACUGCGUGACUCGAGGACUGUAGAGGAGAUCGGAAUUCACGGUGUAGCAGUGAAAUGCGUAGAUAUCGUGAGGAAGACCAGUUGCGAAGGCGGAUCUCUGGGCAGUUCCUGACACUGAGGCACGAAGGCCAGGGGAGCAAACGGG
rnacentral:rRNA from 1 species